CGCACUCCCGGGGCGUCUCGUUCUCAUAGCGAGAAGAGGCGCACCCAGAGCGUACACGCUGGGACCCGAAAGAUGGUGAACUAUGCCUGGUCAGGACGAAGUCAGGGGAAACCCUGAUGGAGGUCCGUAGCGAUUCUGACGUGCAAAUCGAUCGUCGGAACUGGGUAUAGGGGCGAAAGACUAAUCGAACCUUCUAGUAGCUGGUUCCCUCCGAAGUUUCCCUCAGGAUAGCUGGCGCUCGCCUUUGCGAGUCUCAUUCGGUAAAGCGAAUGAUUAGAGGCAUUGGGGUCGAAACGGCCUCAACCUAUUCUCAAACUUUAAAUGGGUGAGAUCUCCGGCUUGCUUGAAGCAUGAAGCCGCGAGAGAUAUAUAUAUAUCGGAUCACAGAGUGCCAAGUGGGCCACUUUUGGUAAGCAGAACUGGCGCUGUGGGAUGAACCAAACGCCGAGUUAAAGCGCCUAAAUCGACGCUUAUGGGGUACCAUGAAAGGCGUUGGUAACUUAAGACAGCAGGACGGUGG
rnacentral:rRNA from 1 species